rnacentral:tRNA from 1 species
UUGGGUGUAGCUCAAUGGCAGUGUUUGCCUAGAAUGCAUAAAGCCUUGGGUUCAUUUCCCAGCACCAAGA